UCCGGUUGAUCCUGCCAGAGGUUACUGCUAUUGGUGUUCGACUAAGCCAUGCAAGUCAUAUGUUCCUCGUGAACAUGGCAUACUGCUCAGUAACACGUGGAUAACCUGCCCUUGGGUCUGGGAUAACCCCGGGAAACUGGGGAUAAUACUGGAUAACGCAUAUGUGCUGGAAUGCUUUAUGCGUAAAACGGAUUCGUCCGCCCAAGGAUGGGUCUGCGGCCUAUCAGGUAGUAGUGGGUGUAAUGUACCUACUAGCCAACAACGGGUACGGGUUGUGAGAGCAAGAGCCCGGAGAUGGAUUCUGAGACAUGAAUCCAGGCCCUACGGGGCGCAGCAGGCGCGAAAACUUUACAAUGCGGGAAACCGUGAUAAGGGAACACCGAGUGCCAGCAUCAUAUGCUGGCUGUCCAGAUGUGUAAACUACAUCUGUUAGCAAGGGCCGGGCAAGACCGGUGCCAGCCGCCGCGGUAACACCGGCGGCCCGAGUGGUGACCGUUAUUAUUGGGUCUAAAGGGUCCGUAGCCGGUUUGGUCAGUCCUCCGGGAAAUCUGAUAGCUUAACUGUUAGGCUUUCGGGGGAUACUGCCAGGCUUGGAACCGGGAGAGGUAAGAGGUACUACAGGGGUAGGAGUGAAAUCUUGUAAUCCCUGUGAGACCACCUGUGGCGAAGGCGUCUUACCAGAACGGCUUCGACAGUGAGGGACGAAAGCUGGGGGAGCAAACCGGAUUAGAUACCCGGGUAGUCCCAGCCGUAAACUAUGCGCGUUAGGUGUAUCGGUGACCACGAGUUACCGAGGUGCCGAAGGGAAACCGUGAAACGUGCCGCCUGGGAAGUACGGUCGCAAGGCUGAAACUUAAAGGAAUUGGCGGGGGAGCACCACAACAGGUGGAGCCUGCGGUUUAAUUGGACUCAACGCCGGGAAGCUCACCGGAUAGGACAGCAGAAUGAUUGCCGGGCUGAAGACCCUGCAUGACUAGCUGAGAGGAGGUGCAUGGCCGUCGUCAGUUCGUACUGUGAAGCAUCCUGUUAAGUCAGGCAACGAGCGAGACCC
rnacentral:rRNA from 1 species